rnacentral:lncRNA from 1 species
AGACUAGAUCGAUAGGGCUGCACAGAGGUGGCACAGUUGUGCCAGAGGUAGCAGGGACAGGAGGGCUGGCAAGGGAGGGUCCAGGGCUAGGGGAUUCGGAGUGGCUUCAGGCGGACCACGUGGCUACCUUUUUUCCAGGGCCAGACUUUGGCAGCGUGUAAGGUCUGAGGACAGGGGCACCGGAGGCCGAGGAUGAGAGGCCAGUGCCUGUUUCCAGGCAGCCAGGGCCUCAGAAACUCCGGCCGGAGCACUCACCCGUCGGUGGAGGCCGUUACCAGGGCCACCUUAUUUGCGAGCGGGUCCCGGCGGGUCAUCCCGGAGCUGGCCAUCCGCACCGAAUUCCAAGCCCGGGCACAGAGGCCUAGCAGCCCCGCCUUGUGCAUGGAUCAGACCAGCAAGUAUGGGUUCCACUCUUCCCAGGGGCGGUGACAGAGUAGGGCGAGGGGCAGGACGAAGGGCGGGCCGAUUCCCUGCCCGCCCUGCUCCCCGCCCCGGUACCGCUGUGAGCGGUCUGUGGCCCUGGGCACCUCCAUCCGCCGCGGCGCCCCUCCACCAUCUACCUUCCGCCUGACUGGGGCUUGCCUUUCCGGGCUGGCGGGUGCCACUUCGGAUAAACCCUUUGGACUCCUAACUCCAAUCAGGUGUCUGCUUUGUUGAGGACUCACAGACACAGUCUCCUUUCUUCAAGAUCUUUACAAUGCAAGACCUCACUAACACACAGGGAUGGUCUCCCAGAGGGUCUGUGCUGUUCCUUCACUCAGAACAUCAAGAUGCACUGAAGUAAGGAUCCUCUAUUCUACAGUUCCUGCUAGCUGAGCUAUUCCAUGGGGGCUUCAGCAGGAAAUUCCAAGGUUGGCUUUGACAAGCUAAGGCCGGCUGGUGGAGCACAUCGAGUUCUGGAGGUUCAUGUGUGUUUUCAUGAAGAUCUGUCUGCCCGUAGCAGAUAAAGAGUUGUUGCCCCACUCCUCCUGGGGUCUUCUAUUUUCCUGGGAGGAAUUUCUGGAUUAACUGAACACACACACACACACACACACCCUUUUGAAGCAUCAACAGUAAUUCUGAGUUCUUAGGGACAAUGCAGAUUAAAUCCACAAUAAGAAAGACAACUAUGGCCAGGUGUGGUGGCUCACGCCUGUAAUCCCAGAACUUUGGGAGGCUGAGGCGGAUGGAUCACCUGAGGUCAGGAGUUAGAGACCAACCUGACCAACAUGGAGAAACCCCGUUUCUACUAAAAAUGCAAAAUUAGCCGGGCAUGGUGGCAGGCGCCUGUAAUCCCAAAUACUCGGGAGGCUGAGGCAGGAGAAUCACUUAAACCCGGGAGGCAGAGGUUGCAGUGAGCCAAGAUCGCGCCAUUGCACUCCAGCCUGGGCAAGAAGAGCAAAACUCCAUCUCAAAAAAAAAAAAAGAGUACUAUUGAUCCAGAGGUGACCAGACUAGCCUCACUGGAGAUAAUAGGUGACAUUAUUAUGCAAAGUGGUUUCAGUUCCCUUGUCUUGUUUUUGGAAUAGUAUAAGAGGCCUACAAUACGAAUAAAUAAGGCC